UACGGGGGGGGGCAAGCGUUGUUCGGAAUUACUGGGCGUAAAGGGCUCGUAGGUGGCCAACUAAGUCAGACGUGAAAUCCCUCGGCUUAACCGGGGAACUGCGUCUGAUACUGGAUGGCUUGAGUUUGGGAGAGGGACGCGGAAUUCCAGGUGUAGCGGUGAAAUGCGUAGAUAUCUGGAGGAACACCUGUGGCGAAGGCGGCCCCCUGGUCGGAUACUGACGCUGAGACGCGAAAGCGUGGGGAGCAAACAGG
rnacentral:rRNA from 1 species